UACGAGGGGGGCGAGCGUUGUUCGGAAUUAUUGGGCGUAAAGGGUGCGUAGGCGGUUUGGUAAGUCUCGUGUGAAAUCUCCGGGCUCAACUCGGAGCCUGCACGAGAAACUGCCGGGCUUGAGUGUGGGAGAGGUGAGUGGAAUUCCUGGUGUAGCGGUGAAAUGCGUAGAUAUCAGGAGGAACACCUGUGGCGAAAGCAGCUCACUGGACCAUAACUGACGCUGAUGCACGAAAGCUAGGGGAGCAAACAGG
rnacentral:rRNA from 1 species